GACGAACGCUGGCGGCGCGCCUAACACAUGCAAGUCGAACGAGCGAGAGAGAGCUUGCUUUCUCGAGCGAGUGGCGAACGGGUGAGUAACGCGUGAGGAACCUGCCUCAAAGAGGGGGACAACAGUUGGAAACGACUGCUAAUACCGCAUAAGCCCACGGGUCGGCAUCGACCAGAGGGAAAAGGAGCAAUCCGCUUUGAGAUGGCCUCGCGUCCGAUUAGCUGGUUGGUGAGGUAACGGCCCACCAAGGCAACGAUCGGUAGCCGGACUGAGAGGUUGAACGGCCACAUUGGGACUGAGACACGGCCCAGACUCCUACGGGAGGCAGCAGUGGGGAAUCUUCCGCAAUGGGCGAAAGCCUGACGGAGCAACGCCGCGUGAGUGAUGACGGCCUUC
rnacentral:rRNA from 1 species